rnacentral:rRNA from 1 species
CCUACGGGGGGCAGCAGUGAGGAAUAUUGGUCAAUGGACGAGAGUCUGAACCAGCCAAGUAGCGUGAAGGAUGACUGCCCUAUGGGUUGUAAACUUCUUUUAUAUGGGAAUAAAAUGUUCCACGUGUGGGAUUUUGUAUGUACCAUAUGAAUAAGGAUCGGCUAACUCCGUGCCAGCAGCCGCGGUAAUACGGAGGAUCCGAGCAUUAUCCGGAUUUAUUGGGUUUAAAGGGAGCGUAGGUGGAUUGUUAAGUCAGUUGUGAAAGUUUGCGGCUCAACCGUAAAAUUGCAGUUGAAACUGGCAGUCUUGAGUACAGUAGAGGUGGGCGGAAUUCGUGGUGUAGCGGUGAAAUGCUUAGAUAUCACGAAGAACUCCGAUUGCGAAGGCAGUUCACUGGACUGCAACUGACACUGAGGCUCGAAAGUGUGGGUAUCAAACAGGAUUAGAUACCCCAGUAGUC